UACGGAGGGGGCGAGCGUUGUCCGAAGUUACUGGGCGUAAAGCGCGCGUAGGCGGGUUGGCAAGUCCGCCGUGAAAGCCUGAGGCUCAACCUCAGCGGGUCGGUGGAUACUGCCAGUCUUGAAGGUGCUAGGGGGAGAUGGAAUUACCGGUGUAGCGGUGAAAUGCGUAGAGAUCGGUAGGAACACCAGUGGCGAAGGCGGUCUCCUGGGGCAUUCUUGACGCUGAGGCGCGAAAGCUGGGGGAGCGAACGGG
rnacentral:rRNA from 1 species